rnacentral:misc_RNA from 1 species
GAUGAAGAACGCAGUGAAAUGCGAUAAGUAAUGUGAAUUGCAGAAUUCAGUGAAUCGUCGAAUCUUUGAACGCACCUUGCGCCUUUUGGUAUUCCGAAAGGCACACCUGUUUGAGCGUCAUGAAUACCUCAAUCUCCAUCUUUUCUUCGGAUUGAUGGGUGACUUGGAUGUUGAGCCCUGCUGGUAUGCUAUAUCAGCUGGCUUUAAACUUAUUAGCCGGCUCUGUACUGGAUCGGUUUGACUCGACGUGAUAAUAUUAUCGUUGAGGAUGCAUGUCUCAUGCAGCCGGAAAGUAUCAAAGCAGCUUCUAGCUUGCCUUUAGUGCACUUUUACAUUUUAGACCUCAGAUCAGGUGGGACUACCCGCUGAACUUAAGCAUAUCAAUAAGCGGAGGA